rnacentral:rRNA from 1 species
AUGGAUUCGACGGAGAUUUUGAAUGUCAGAUUUCAUGUUGGAGGGCAGUUCAUCCGCACCGGUCCUGUUAUGGAUUAUGUGGGGGGCGAUGAAGAGAUGUCACAGAUCGAGAGGGACAAGUUGCAAUUGCAAGAAGUUAAAGGGAAUUUGAAAGACCAUGUGGAGUUGAAGGAAUCGAUCAAGAUGUAUUUUCUAUAUCCUGGGAAGGAACUACCUGAUGGUUUGGUGUUUUUGUUUGAUGACAGUGGUUGUGUGAAUAUGUCAGACUACAUUUGUGUUGGAGAUGUAGCAGAUAUUUAUGUUGAGUAUCAUGGGGAGCAGGAAAGAGAGUACAUCAGCAGUGGCAGUGAUUAUGAGCAUGAGAUAAGGGAGGUAAGUGAUGAUGAAUUUGAAGAACAUGAUAUUGUCAUUAGUGCAGAGCCACUUGACAUGGAGUGCUCACUCAACUUAUUAGCAGUCUAG